rnacentral:lncRNA from 1 species
UGGAUCACACUUCGGUGUGCGGCUGGCUCUGCUCACAUCCUCGUCCUUGGCAUUACAGCGCUUCUUCACAAAUGACUCUUGACCGACAAGCAAACACCACCAGGCAUCUGGAUGAGCGGCGUGUCCUGCUGCUGAUUAUUUUGAAAUAGCAGCGAUGUUUUGAAACAGGCAUGUCUCCGUUGGCAGAUAAGAAAGACGAAGUGAAGCGAGGCACCAGCACACCACAGUGCUCCGUCAAGCUCUUGUCUAUUAAACAAACGACAUAUCCCAAAUUCUACUGAUACACGAAUCAAGAGAAGCUUCUCAAAUUAUGAAACUCAGAGUACAUAUAUACACCAUCCUAUCCCAAUCCAUCUUGCUCUAAAUACUGCUUUUUUUGAGGCUGUCAAAAGCACAAGCUGCCAUGGUAAUGACAGGAAGAUAUGGGUGAAAAGCCAGCCCUAAUUAGAGACUUGAUUGCUCUGUAAUAACAAGGCCUGUAUUUGAUUUGGACGGUUCUGGGUCGUCAGGUAAAAUGAAUUAAAUAUGUCUGUACUUUCAUUUCAAAAUGUGAAA